GACGAACGCUGGCGGCGUGCUUAACACAUGCAAGUCGAACGGAAAGGCCCUGCUUUUGUGGGGUGCUCGAGUGGCGAACGGGUGAGUAACACGUGAGUAACCUGCCCUUGACUUUGGGAUAACUUCAGGAAACUAGGGCUAAUACCGGAUAGGAGCUCCCGCUGCAUGGUGGGGGGUGGAAAGUUUCGGCGGUUGGGUAUGGACUCGCGGCUUAUCUGCUGUUUGGUGGGGUAGUGGCUUACCAAGGCUUUGACGGGUAGCCGGCCUGAGAGGGUGACCGGCGACAUUGGGACUGAGAGACGGACCAGACGCCUACGGGAGGCAGCAGGGGGGAGUAUGGCACAGUGGGCGGACGCGUGAUGCAGAAACGCCGCGUGCGGGAUGACGGCCUUCGGGUGGUAAACCGCUUUCGCCUGUGACGAAGCGUGAGUGACGGUAAUGGGUCAGGAAGCACCGGCUAACUACGUG
rnacentral:rRNA from 1 species